rnacentral:rRNA from 1 species
UGCUUCAUGUAUAAUCAUAUGAAGUAAUCUCCUGCCCAGUGAUAAAAUUAAAUGGCCGCGGUAUCCUAACCGUGCAAAGGUAGCAUAAUCACUUGCCUAUUAAUUGUAGGCUAGAAUGAAUGGGGUAACGAAAUAAUAACUUUCUCAACUAAAUAAACAAAAACUUAUAUCUAAGUGAAGAAGCUUAGAUAAAACAAAAGGACAAGAAGACCCUAUAGAGCUUUAGUUAAAAUAUAUCAAAUAUAUUUACACUUCGGUUGGGGCGACCUAGGAAAAAUCAUCCUAAUAUAUAAGAAACAUAUUUCAUAAAACGAACCUAAAUAGAUCAAAGACCAAGCUACCUUAGGGAUAACAGGCUAAUCUAACUAUAGAGCUCAUAUCUAAAGUAAGGAUUGGCACCUCGAUGUUGGCUUAGAGAAUCAGACUGGCGCAGCAGUCAGUAAAUGAGGGUUUGUUCAACCCAUAAUUCUC